rnacentral:rRNA from 1 species
UACGGGAGGCAGCAGUGGGGAAUAUUGCACAAUGGGCGCAAGCCUGAUGCAGCCAUGCCGCGUGUAUGAAGAAGGCCUUCGGGUUGUAAAGUACUUUCAGUCGUGAGGAAGGUGUUAAGGUUAAUAACCUUAGCAAUUGACGUUAGCGACAGAAGAAGCACCGGCUAACUCCGUGCCAGCAGCCGCGGUAAUACGGAGGGUGCGAGCGCUAAUCGGAAUUACUGGGCGUAAAGGGCACGCAGGCGGUUAAUUAAGUUGGAUGUGAAUCCCCGGGCUUAACCUGGGAAUGGCAUUCAAGACUGGUUAGCUAGAGUCUUGUAGAGGGGGUUAGAAUUCCAUGUGUAGCGGUGAAAUGCGUAGAGAUGUGGAGGAAUACCGGUGGCGAAGGCGGCCCCUGGGACAAGACUGACGCUCAUGUGCGAAAGCGUGGGGAGCAAACAGGAUUAGGAUACC